rnacentral:rRNA from 1 species
ACGGAAGGCAGCAGUGGGGAAUAUUGCACAAUGGGGGAAACCCUGAUGCAGCAACGCCGCGUGAGCGAAGAAGUAUUUCGGUAUGUAAAGCUCUAUCAGCAGGGAAGAAAAUGACGGUACCUGACUAAGAAGCACCGGCUAAAUACGUGCCAGCAGCCGCGGUAAUACGUAUGGUGCAAGCGUUAUCCGGAUUUACUGGGUGUAAAGGGAGCGCAGACGGAACGGCAAGUCUGAUGUGAAAGCUCAGGGCUCAACCCUGGAACUGCAUUGGAAACUGUCGAUCUGGAGUAUCGGAGGGGUAAGCGGAAUUCCUAGUGUAGCGGUGAAAUGCGUAGAUAUUAGGAGGAACACCAGUGGCGAAGGCGGCUUACUGGACGAUAACUGACGUUGAGGCUCGAAAGCGUGGGGAGCAAACAGGAUUAGAUACCCUGGUA